rnacentral:rRNA from 1 species
GACGAACGCUGGCGGCGUGCUUAACACAUGCAAGUCGAACGGAAAGGCCCUGCUUGCAGGGUACUCGAGUGGCGAACGGGUGAGUAACACGUGGGUAAUCUGCCCUGCACUCUGGGAUAAGCCUGGGAAACUGGGUCUAAUACCGGAUAUGACCAAUUGCUGAUGGCUUUUGGUGGAAAGUUUUUCGGUGCAGGAUGAGCCCGCGGCCUAUCAGCUUGUUGGUGGGGUAAUGGCCUACCAAGGCGACGACGGGUAGCCGGCCUGAGAGGGUGAUCGGCCACAUUGGGACUGAGAUACGGCCCAGACUCCUACGGGAGGCAGCAGUGGGGAAUAUUGCACAAUGGGCGGAAGCCUGAUGCAGCGACGCCGCGUGAGGGAUGACGGCCUUCGGGUUGUAAACCUCUUUCGGUAGGGACGAAGCGUAAGUGACGGUACCUACAGAAGAAGCACCGGCUAACCACGUGCCAGCAGCCGCGGUAAUACGUAGGGUGCGAGCGUUGUCCGGAAUUACUGGGCGUAAAGAGCUCGUAGGCGGUUUGUCACGUCGUCUGUGAAAUCCUAGGGCUUAACCCUGGACGUGCAGGCGAUACGGGCAGGCUUGAGUGCUACAGGGGAGACUGGAAUUUCUGGUGGAGCGGUGAAAUGCGCAGAUAUCAGGAAGAACACCAAUGGCGAAGGCAGGUCUCUGGGUAGUAACUGACGCUGAGGAGCGAAAGCAUGGGUAGCGAACAGGAUUAGAUACCCUGGUAGUCCAUGCCGUAAACGAUGGGCGCUAGGUGUGGGGGUCCUUCCACGGAUUCCGCGCCGUAGCUAACGCAUUAAGGCGCCCCGCCUGGGGAGUAC